GAUGAACGCUAGCGGCAGGCUUAAUACAUGCAAGUCGAGGGGCAGCAGGAAUAGCAAUAUUUGCUGGCGACCGGCGCACGGGUGCGUAACACGUAUACAAUCUACCUUUAACAGGGGGAUAGCCCGGAGAAAUCCGGAUUAAUACCCCAUAACAAUAGAACAAGCAUUUGUUUUAUUUAAAAGCUCCGGCGGUUAGAGAUGAGUAUGCGUCUGAUUAGCUAGUUGGUGAGGUAACGGCUCACCAAGGCGACGAUCAGUAGGGGAUCUGAGAGGAUGAACCCCCACACGGAUACUGAGACACGGAUCCGACUCCUACGGGAGGCAGCAGUAAGGAAUAUUGGACAAUGCCCGCAAGGGUGAUCCAGCCAUGCCGCGUGCAGGAAGACGGCCCUAUGGGUUGUAAACUGCUUUUGUACCGGAGAAAACCUCCCCUCGUGAGGGGAGCUGAUAGUAUGGUAAGAAUAAGCAUCGGCUAACUUCGUGCCAGCCGCCGCGGUAA
rnacentral:rRNA from 1 species